rnacentral:rRNA from 1 species
GUGCACCAGUCGAGAAAACUUUACAAUGCGAGCAAUCGUGAUAAGGAAACCCUGAGUGCCUGUCAAUGCAGGCUGUUCUGGUGUCUAACACACACCAGGAGAAAGGGCGGGGCAAGACCGGUGCCAGCCGCCGCGGUAAUACCGGCUGCUCGAGUGAUAGCCACUUUUACUGGGCUUAAAGCGUUCGUAGCUUGGUCGUUAGGUCUCUGGGGAAAUCUUUUGGCUCAACCAAAAGGCGUCUCAGGGAAACUGGCGAUCUUGGAACCGGGAGAGGUAAGACGUACUUCGGGGGUAGGAGUGAAAUCUUGUAAUCCCCGAGGGACGACCGAUGGCGAAGGCAUCUUACCAGAACGGCUUCGACAGUGAGGGACGAAAGCUGGGGGAGCAAACCGGAUUAGAUACCCAUGUAGUCC